CGCUCAACCGCUAGCCUAGCACCACCCCCAACCGCCAACUAUACAUACCCCCUCACGCACUGUUGCAUCCAAGC
rnacentral:rRNA from 1 species